UAAGGAGUAAUUUGUUAAUGAUGCAGCAAUUUCCUUCCCUUGACAGUGUUUAUAAUAUUGUACUCAAUGAUGAAAAACAAAGAGAAGUCAAGUCUGUAUCCCAUAUGAGCCCAGACUCUAUGUCUUUUAAUGUUCACACUGACAGGCCCUCUGCAGGGUUCAACCAGGGUAAAUUGUCUGGUUCUAACUUCAGACCUAAAGUCAAUUUUGAACAAAAU
rnacentral:lncRNA from 1 species